rnacentral:rRNA from 1 species
UGGGGAAUUUUGGACAAUGAGGGAAACCCUGAUCCAGCCAUCCCGCGUGUGCGAUGAAGGCCUUCGGGUUGUAAAGCACUUUUGGCAGGAAAGAAACGUCGCGGGUUAAUACCCCGCGGAACUGACGGUACCUGCAGAAUAAGCACCGGCUAACUACGUGCCAGCAGCCGCGGUAAUACGUAGGGUGCAAGCGUUAAUCGGAAUUACUGGGCGUAAAGCGUGCGCAGGCGGUUCGGAAAGAAAGAUGUGAAAUCCCAGAGCUUAACUUUGGAACUGCAUUUUUAACUACCGGGCUAGAGUGUGUCAGAGGGAGGUGGAAUUCCGCGUGUAGCAGUGAAAUGCGUAGAUAUGCGGAGGAACACCGAUGGCGAAGGCAGCCUCCUGGGAUAACACUGACGCUCAUGCACGAAAGCGUGGGGAGCAAACAGGAUUAGAUACCCUGGUAGUCCACGCCCUAAACGAUGUCAAACUAGCUGUUGGGGGUCUUCGAAACCUUGGUAGCGCAGNUAAACGCGUGAAAGUUGACCGCCUGGGGAGUACGGUCGCAAGAUUAAAAACUCAAAAGG